rnacentral:lncRNA from 1 species
AAAAGCAGCCGCUGGGGAAGAGUCCUGUGGUGCCUCACCUACCCCUGCUGCCAGUGUCAACCCAUCUGGCCCCACACUGAAGUCCCGCUUCUGCAGCCUGCUAGAGACUGCCUGGCUCAAUGGCCUGGCUCUGCCCACCUGGGGCCACAGGGCCUCAGGACAAGACCAGCCCUUGCCCCACCCACAGCUUCUGGGCAGCCAGAGCCAUCACCUG